CCUACGGGAGGCAGCAGUGGGGAAUAUUGCACAAUGGGGGAAACCCUGAUGCAGCGACGCCGCGUGAGUGAAGAAGUAAUUCGUUAUGUAAAGCUCUAUCAGCAGGGAAGAAAAUGACGGUAACUGAGUAAGAAGCCCCGGCCAACCACGUGCCAGCAGCCGCGGGAAUACGUAGGGGGGAAGCGUUAUCCGGAUUUACUGGGUGUAAAGGGAGCGUAGAAGGGAGUGGAAGUCUGGAGUGAAAGGCGGAGGCUCAACCCCCGGACUGCCUUGGAAACUGUACAGCUGGAGUGCCGGAGAGGUAAGUGGAAUUCCUAGUGUAGCGGUGAAAUGCGUAGAUAUUAGGAGGAACACCAGUGGCGAAGGCGUCUUACUGGACUGUAACUGACGUUGAGGCUCGAAAGCGUGGGGAGCAAACAGGAUUAGAUACCCUGGUAGUC
rnacentral:rRNA from 1 species